rnacentral:rRNA from 1 species
UACGUAGGGUGCAAGCGUUGUCCGGAAUUAUUGGGCGUAAAGAGCUCGUAGGCGGUUUGGCAAGUCGGGUGUGAAAACUCCGGGCUCAACUCGGAGACGCCACUCGAUACUGCUAUGACUCGAGUCCGGUAGGGGAGUGCGGAAUCCUGGUGUAGCGGUGAAAUGCGCAGAUAUCAAGAGGGAACACCUGCGGCGAAGGCGGGUUGCUGGGCCGACACUGACGCUGAGGCGCGAAAGCCAGGGGAGCGAACGGGAUUAGACGUACCCCUGUA